rnacentral:tRNA from 1 species
AUAUAAGAAAUGAUAAAUCAUAUAUGAUUUCGGCUCAUACUUAGAUGUUAAAUACAUCCUUAUAAG